GAUCCUAGCUCAGGAUGAACGCUAGCUACAGGCUUAACACAUGCAAGUCGAGGGGCAGCAUGAACUUAGCUUGCUAAGUUUGAUGGCGACCGGCGCACGGGUGAGUAACACGUAUCCAACCUUCCGUUUACUCAGGGAUAGCCUUUCGAAAUAAAGAUUAAUACCUGAUAGUAUGGUGAGAUUGCAUGAUAGCACCAUUAAAGAUUUAUUGGUAAACGAUGGGGAUGCGUUCCA
rnacentral:rRNA from 1 species